CCACACCUAAAACUUUUCCACGUGAACCGUAUUUUUGACGUUGGGGACUCCUGGCUUCGGCCGGUUGAGACCUAUCACGCGACCGCUCGGGCUGAAAAGUCGGGGCCAGUAGCCUUUUUUUAAACCCAUUCCGAACUACUGAACCAUACUGUGGGGACGAAAGUCCUUGCUUUUAACUAGAUAGCAACUUUCAGCAGUGGAUGUCUAGGCUCGCACAUCGAUGAAGAACGCUGCGAACUGCGAUACGUAAUGCGAAUUGCAGGAUUCAGUGAGUCAUCGAAAUUUUGAACGCAUAUUGCACUUCCGGGUUAUGCCUGGGAGUAUGCCUGUAUCAGUGUCCGUACAUGAAACUUGGCUCCCUUCCUUCCGUGUAGUCGGUGGAUGGGGACGCGCAGACGUGAAGUGUCUUGCGGCGGCGGCUUCUGCCGGCUGCUGCGAGUCCUUUGAAAUGUAAGACCUGUUCUUCUCUUUGCCCGAAAAGCGUUGCGUGAGUGUGGUUGUGGAGGCUGCCGUUUGCGGCAUGUCGGCGACUGAUUUCGUGCUGAGGCGUGUGGGGAGAGGCUCGAUUCGCGGUAUGGUUGGCUUCGGCUGAACUUCUGCUUAUUGGUCUUUUUUUCGCGGCUUUGGCGUUUUGCGGGGUCGGUGUACCGUAGCUGCGGGUGGCUUGGCCUUUGAACCGUGUUCGUGCGGAGCGAAGUAAGGUGGGCGUGACUGUAGUGUUAUGGCCGAGGGGGACGCAACCAUUUGGGAAAGUAAUGCUUUUCUGCCGGCUUUGGGGCUGGCGGGGCUGCAUCUCGA
rnacentral:rRNA from 1 species